AGCGCAGGCGGGUGGCGAAGUACGAUUGGUGAAAUCCUGAGGCUUAACCUCAGGACUGCCAAUGAUACUGCCGAUCUUGAGUGCAGAAGAGGAAGACGGAAUUCCUGGUGUAGCGGUGAAAUGCGUAGAUAUCAGGAAGAACACCGGUGGCGAAGGCGGUCUUCUGGUCUGUAACUGACGCUCAUGCUCGAAAGCGUGGGGAGCAAACAGGAUUAGAUACCCUGGUAGUCCACGCCCUAAACGAUGGAUACUCGAUGUCGGGUCGCAAGGCCCGGUGUCCAAGCUAACGCGUUAAGUAUCCCACCUGGGGAGUACGAUCGCAAGGUUGAA
rnacentral:rRNA from 1 species